rnacentral:rRNA from 1 species
UACGGAGGGUGCAAGCGUUAUCCGGAUUCACUGGGUUUAAAGGGUGCGUAGGUGGGGUUGGUAAGUCAGUGGUGAAAUCUCCAGGCUUAACUUGGAAACUGCCAUUGAUACUAUCAAUCUUGAAUACCGUGGAGGUCAGCGGAAUAUGUCAUGUAGCGGUGAAAUGCUUAGAUAUGACAUAGAACACCAAUUGCGAAGGCAGCUGGCUACACGAAUAUUGACACUGAUGCACGAAAGCGUGGGGAUCAAACAGG